AAUUUUCCUUCAGGAUGGUGGAGCUCUUCAUAUUGGGUUGCACUGGAAUCGUCGCCUUCCUUCACGGCGCCAAUUUCUUCUUCAACUUUCUUUCCCGUCCCCUUCGUCUUCGAUCUCUCAGUUUCUUGGGUUUCGUCGGGUGAUUUAUCUCUUCUUGAAGAAAAUAAGAAAGCAGAAAAUAAAUUGAAUCUGCACGCAAAAGUCAUUCAGAUCUGAGACUCUGUUGUUAGUCGUUGUUGUUGCUUGCAUGGAGCUUCAAGAUUUCUGUGAAUAUCUUACUGUGUAAAUUUGUAAAUACGACGAUGAACGGCAGUAAGGCAAGUAAACUCCUGUAAUUAAUAGAUUCGUUUUAUUUUAGAUUUCACGCGGCUUUGCAAUUGAAGGAUUGGACUAUAUACCAAACUGGAAUUUUUUUAUUA